AAUAGAUACCCGGGUAGUCCACGCCGUAAACGUUGGGCGCUAGGUGUGGGGCUCAUUCCACGAGUUCCGUGCCGCAGCUAACGCAUUAAGCGCCCCGCCUGGGGAGUACGGCCGCAAGGCUAAAACUCAAAGGAAUUGACGGGGGCCCGCACAAGCGGCGGAGCAUGCGGAUUAAUUCGAUGUAACGCGAAGAACCUUACCAGGGCUUGACAUAUACCGGAAACACCCAGAGAUGGGUGCCCCGCAAGGUCGGUAUACAGGUGGUGCAUGGUUGUCGUCAGCUCGUGUCGUGAGAUGUUGGGUUAAGUCCCGCAACGAGCGCAACCCUCGUUCUAUGUUGCCAGCACGUUAUGGUGGGGACUCAUAGAAGACUGCCGGGGUCAACUCGGAGGAAGGUGGGGAUGACGUCAAAUCAUCAUGCCCCUUAUGUCCUGGGCUUCACGCAUGCUACAAUGGCCAGUACAAAGGGCUGCGAUACCGCGAGGUGGAGCGAAUCCCAAAAAACUGGUCUCAGUUCGGAUUGGGGUCUGCAACUCGA
rnacentral:rRNA from 1 species